CUCUGCUCCAGCUCUAGGCCAGGUUGGGUGCUCUGCUCCAGCUCUGGACCAGGUUGGGUGCUCUGCUCCAGCUCUAGGCCAGGUUGGGUGCCCUGCUCCAGCUCUAGGCCAGGUUGGGUGCUCUGCUCCAGCUCUAGGCCAGGUUGGGUGCUCUGCUCCAGCUCUAGGCCAGGUUGGGUGCUCUGCUCCAGCUCUAGGCCAGGUUGGGUGCUUUGGGCUGGGAUCUGCUGAGGUUCAGAGGUGCUUUGGGCUGGGAUCUGCUGAGGUUCAGAGGUGCUUUGGGCUGGGAUCUGCUGAGGUUCAGAGGUGCUUUGGGCUGGGACCUGCUGAGGUUCAGAGGUGCUUUGGGCUGGGACCUGCUGAGGUUCAGAGGUGCUUUGGGCUGGGACCUGCUGAGGUUCAGAGGUGCUUUGGGCUGGGACCUGCUGAGGUUCAGAGGAGCUUUGGGCUGGGAUCUGCUGAGGUUCAGAGGUGCUUUGGGCUGGGAUCUGCUGAGGUUCAGAGGUGCUUUGGGCUGGGAUCUGCUGAGGUUCAGAGGUGCUUUGGGCUGGGAUCUGCUGAGGUUCAGUGGUGCUUCAAGAGGAGGAUGCUGGUGGGACCCUCGGGAGCCUUCAUCUGCCAUGGUGCCAGGGGACCAGUGGCAGGGGGAGUUGGUGGCCCCUUGGCCCGGGGCUGGUGGCCCCUGGGUGGGUGUUGGUGCUGGCAGCUGUGGAAGAGGAGCAGGCAGCAGGAGGAGGUUGAAGCUCUCCUGGCUUCGGGAAGCUCUCAGCUGGACCAGGCAGGACCAUGGAGGCUCCACGGAACUGCUCCUCCUGUUGGCACCAGGCAGCAGCAGGGACCCUGAGCUGCCUCCAGGCUCAGCCCUGCAGCUCCCAGGGCUGCUCCCUUGCAGCAGGUCCCUGCCAACCCUCCUGUCCCUCUCUGGCUGUCCCCACCCUGCCCAGGCCUGUCUGGGCUGAAAUAAAGCAUUGAGGGCUUGGGGCACCUCCUGGCAGUGCCUCCAGGCCACCUCCUG